GUGGGGAAUUUUGGACAACGGGCGCAAGCCUGAUCCAGCCAUGCCGCGUGCAGGAUGAAGGCCUUCGGGUUGUAAACUGCUUUUGUACGGAACGAAAAGGUGCCUUCUAAUAAAGGGCGCUCAUGACGGUACCGUAAGAAUAAGCACCGGCUAACUACGUGCCAGCAGCCGCGGUAAUACGUAGGGUGCGAGCGUUAAUCGGAAUUACUGGGCGUAAAGCGUGCGCAGGCGGUUUUGUAAGACAGAGGUGAAAUCCCCGGGCUCAACCUGGGAAAUGCCUUUGUGACUGCAAGGCUGGAGUGCGGCAGAGGGGGAUGGAAUUCCGCGUGUAGCAGUGAAAUGCGUAGAUAUGCGGAGGAACACCGAUGGCGAAGGCAAUCCCCUGGGCCUGCACUGACGCUCAUGCACGAAAGCGUGGGGAGCAAACAGGAUUAGAUACCCCAGUAGUCC
rnacentral:rRNA from 1 species